rnacentral:rRNA from 1 species
UACGGAGGAUCCGAGCGUUAUCCGGAUUUAUUGGGUUUAAAGGGAGCGUAGAUGGGUUGUUAAGUCAGUUGUGAAAGUUUGCGGCUCAACCGUAAAAUUGCAAUUGAUACUGGCGUCCUUGAGUACAGUUGAGGUGGGCGGAAUUCGUGGUGUAGCGGUGAAAUGCUUAGAUAUCACGAAGAACUCCUAUUGCGAAGGCAGCUCACUAAACUGCAACUGACAUUGAGGCUCGAAAGUGUGGGUAUCAA